UAGUUAAUGAAUGACAACUUGACGAGAUCUCGACACGCAAGUUGGAAGUGUACGCGUGUUUGCACCUCGAUGAGCUUUGCAUAAUAACAAAGCUCCGUUGGUGAGCGUAUUGAUUAAUAAAGCUAGGUGAAGUCCUUGAGUGCCUCAAGAAGGAAUCGCCGAGCAUCGUCAUACAGUAUUUUUUCCUUCAACAAUUAAUCUUGCAUCUCCAACCGUGGAAUAAGUUACAUGUGACUCGAGACAAUCAAACAGUGCAAUUGCAACAAUAUAAUUAGUCAGCGAUAUAAAUUUGCCAUAUCUUCAUGCCAACCACAAGGAUUCUGCUUUUGCACACACCUUCAUUAUUAAUGUGUUUCUUCAGGUAUGGUCACUAUCAGCAGCUUUACACACAGUGUGCAUCGUGAAUACACCAAUCCCAGAGAAAAAAUUCCAAUGGAAAAUAUUGAGAAUUUCUGCCCUUCUAUCCUGAACUACACAAUGCUGGAUUAGACGGUACAAAAAAUUCUUCUCUCGGAAGUUUAUGACUUUGGACUUGCUUGAGAUGACCCUUGAGCCAAGAAGCUUUUCCUGCUUCGUGUGGACAGGAAUAUUAGAGGCAUUGAUGUCUGAAACCAACAAGUGUCUUGCAAAGAAAGUAAAAAGAAACACUGAUGUUGGUCAUCCUCUGAGUGAUGCUGAAGCCUGAUAAGAAGAAAGAAUAGUAUGAGUAUUUGCUGCAUCAU
rnacentral:lncRNA from 1 species